UCCGAAUUGGUGUAGUGGCUAACAUUUGACGCUCUCAAAAACAUCGCCAUUUGUUAUGGUGUUGUAUUGAAAGGUGCCGUCAAGCCCGGGGUUCGAUUCUCCGAUUCGGAG